rnacentral:rRNA from 1 species
CAGUAGCCACGGGAAUACGAAGGGUGCAAGCGUUACUCGGAAUUACUGGGCGUAAAGCGUGCGUAGGUGGUGGUUUAAGUCCGUUGUGAAAGCCCUGGGCUCAACCUGGGAAUUGCAGUGGAUACUGGGUCACUAGAGUGUGGUAGAGGAUAGUGGAAUUUCCGGUGUAGCAGUGAAAUGCGUAGAGAUCGGAAGGAACAUCUGUGGCGAAGGCGACUAUCUGGGCCAACACUGACACUGAGGCACGAAAGCGUGGGGAGCAAACAGGAUUAGAUACCCGAGUAGUCCCUGUCUCUUAUAU